CUGGCCUGGGUGAGGCAGGUCUGCUGUCAGGAGGGGAGCAGGCUUGGGGUAGGCUCAGAUAUAUGCUCCUAUGGGAAGGCUAGGUUCCUUAGUAAGGGCGUGGGGAGAGGUGGGACUACCCCAUAGGAUCCUGUGGGGAGGCCAGGCCCCUCCAUAAGUGUUAGAGAUGAGGAUCGGCCCUCCUACAAGGGCCUGUGGGGGAACAGAAUCCUUUAUAAAGUGCUGUGUGGAGGCCAAGCUCCUCUACAGGAGCCUGGGAGGGAGGUAAGUUCCCCUACUGAGGACCGGCUGGGAGGCCAGGAUCAUCUCUAGGAGCCGGGAAAGAAUCCAAACUUCUCUAUAAGGGAGUGGCCAGGCUCCCCCUAAAAGGACUGGCAGGGAGGCAAGGCUCAUCUAGAGGAGCCUAGGAGGAGGCCAGCUUCGCCUAUAGGGACCUGUGGAGGGGCCAGGCUCUCCUGUAACGCCCCCGGUGCGGAGGGGGGUGGGGAGGGAGUCUCCUCCAUAAGAGUCUGGGACAAGGCCAGGUGUCUCUAUAAGGGUCUGUGGGGAGGUCCAGCUGCCGCUAUAGGGAAUGCGAGGUAAGAAACCAAGGCCCUACUACUGAGGCUGGGGAGUGUGAGUUCUCUUCUUUCUACUUGUGCCGUAGCAGGACCCGGAAGUGCCACCGGAGCGGGGCAGCCUGUCUGCAGUGCCUGAGGCAUCUCCAGCCGCAGCGGGGCUCCAGUCUCAGCCUGGGGGACCAGGCGUCACUGACCCUUUUGAUCCCUACUCAGGUGCUCAGCUGCCCCAGGGAGCCACCGCUGGAGCCGAGGCCAUGCCCCACUGGAGCAGAAGUGAUUGCAGCCAGUCCCCAGAUGGAGGAGUCCCUGCAGAGCUCAGUCCCUCCUUGCAGAAGACAUUGUAGUCAAAGACCUAAUGAUCUUGAACAGCUGGGAGUAACUGGAAACACCACCACACUGGCCAGACCAACAGUGUCUUCUGCCUGGAGAACCUACAAACAGGAUCAACAGCAUCUAGUGAUGUAGCCAUCAACUGUGGCAUAAUCAGGCUCACCUGGAACAGAGAGCACAAAAAAAAAUGAGGUCUGCUUAUGAGAAGUGCUCGUUACAAGACUACACAGGACAGAAACGCUGGCCACCUGUGUCAAAGGGAUGGAAGGCAAUGGUGGAUGAGGCUGAAAGAGAUGUCUUGAUUCUAUGAUUCUAUGAUUUGCUGAACAACCAAGGCAUUUUACCAAGUUCCAUCACCAAAGUGCCUCUGGGAAUUAUAUA